rnacentral:siRNA from 1 species
AGGGGCUCAGCUGAAUCUAGUUUU